CUACUGUGGAUUCAUUUAUUUUCGUGGGUACCAAUGUUCGUGGUUUGAGGAAAACUUGCAUAUUCGUGGAUGUUUAAUUUCGUGGUUUUGACAAAGUAUGCAUAUAUUCCUUUAGAAAAUUUGCAAUUCGUUGAAUAUUUAAAUUCGUGGUUUCCCGGUACCCACGAAAUCCACGAAAAUUGGUAUCCAACGAAUAUUAAUGAAUCCACAGUAUAUCAAA
rnacentral:lncRNA from 1 species